ACCAGUAUAUACAUGUAUUUCCAGAUAAAGUACAAAUUGUAUUAAGAAAGACUGUAUUAAACUGCUGAUUUCUUUUUGGUUUCUUCUAGGCAUACCUAGCUGUACCGUUUUCAGCCAAAGCCCACCAGGUCCAUCUUGUGAAGUCACAAGCCUGAAUUACAGUGGACCCCUCUAUGUUCUCCAAACAUACUCUGAAAUCCCUCAGGUAUGUGACUGUAUUUCAGCUGUCGUCUUAGUUUAGGAGAUCCCC
rnacentral:lncRNA from 1 species